AGCAGCCGCGGUAAUUCCAGCCCCAAUAGCGUAUAUUAAAGUUGUUGCAGUUAAAAGCUCGUAGUUGAAUUUCGGGGUUAGUAGGUUGGUCAUGCCUCUGGUAUGUACUGGUCUCACUGAUUCCUCCUUCCUGAUGAGCCGUAAUGCCAUUAAUUUGGUGUUGCGGGGAAUUUGGACUGUUACUUUGAAAAAUUAGAGUGUUUAAAGCAAGCUAACGCUUGAAUACAUUAGCAUGGAAUAAUGAAAUAGGACGUUCGAUCCUAUUUUGUUGGUUUCUUAGGAUUGACGUAAUGAUUAAUAGGGAUAGUUGGGGGCAUUAGUAUUCAAUUGUCAGAGGUGAAAUUCUUGGAUUUAUUGAAGACUAACUACUGCGAAAGCAUUUGCCAAGGAUGUUUUCAUUAAUCAAGAACGAAAGUUAGGGAAUCGAAGACGAUCAGAUACCGUCGUAGUCUUAACCAUAAACUAUGACCGACUAGGGAUCGGGAUGAUGUUUAAUUUUUUAAUGUACUCAUUCGGCGUA
rnacentral:misc_RNA from 1 species